GUUUGAUCCUGGCUUCAGGAUGAACGCUGGCGGCGUGCUUAACACAUGCAAGUCGAACGGUGAACACGGAGCUUGCUCUGUGGGAUCAGUGGCGAACGGGUGAGUAACACGUGAGCAACCUGCCCCUGACUCUGGGAUAAGCGCUGGAAACGGCGUCUAAUACUGGAUAUGUGACGUGACCGCAUGGUCUGCGUUUGGAAAGAUUUUUCGGUUGGGGAUGGGCUCGCGGCCUAUCAGCUUGUUGGUGAGGUAAUGGCUCACCAAGGCGUCGACGGGUAGCCGGCCUGAGAGGGUGACCGGCCACACUGGGACUGAGACACGGCCCAGACUCCUACGGGAGGCAGCAGUGGGGAAUAUUGCACAAUGGGCGCAAGCCUGAUGCAGCAACGCCGCGUGAGGGAUGACGGCCUUCGGGUUGUAAACCUCUUUUAGCAGGGAAGAAGCGCAAGUGACGGUACCUGCAGAAGAAGCACCGGCUAACUACGUGCUAGCAGCCGCGGUAAUACGUAGGGUGCGAGCGUUGUCCGGAAUUAUUGGGCGUAAAGAGCUUGUAGGCGGUUUGUCGCGUCUGCUGUGAAAAUCCGAGGCUCAACCUCGGACUUGCAGUGGGUACGGGCAGACUAGAGUGUGGUAGGGGAGACUGGAAUUCCUGGUGUAGCGGUGAAAUGCGCAGAUAUCAGGAGGAACACCGAUGGCGAAGGCAGGUCUCUGGGCCACUACUGACGCUGAGAAGCGAAAGCAUGGGGAGCGAACAGGAUUAGAUACCCUGGUAGUCCAUGCCGUAAACGUUGGGAACUAGGUGUGGGUCUCAUUCCACGAGAUCCGUGCCGCAGCUAACGCAUUAAGUUCCCCGCCUGGGGAGUACGGCCGCAAGUCUAAAACUCAAAGGAAUUGAC
rnacentral:rRNA from 1 species